rnacentral:rRNA from 1 species
CUUGGUCAUUUAGAGGAAGUAAAAGUCGUAACAAGGUUUCUGUAGGUGAACCUGCAGAAGGAUCAUUGUUGUAAAACUUAGCGGUCUCUAAGAUACGUUCACUCGUUCAUAGAGGCCGCAAUCCACAAACCAAACACACCUGUGCACACAUAAAUAUCUUUCAAACGCAAAGUAUAUCAUAGAAUGUAGACGAAAAAUCCUUCAAAGGAAGGUGAAAGUUAAAUACAACUUUCGGCAACGGAUCUCUAGGUUCUCCUAUCGAUGAAGAACGCAGCGAAUUGCGAUAAGUAAUUGUGAAUUGCAGAAGUCAGUGAAUCAUCGAAUCUUUGAACGCAUCUUGCGCCCUUUGGUACUCCUUAGGGCAUGCCUGUUUGAGUGUCACGAGCAACCUUUAAACCUCGGGUUUUUUCAUCAAAGCCUGCUUGGGUUUAGUCUUGAGUGUCUGCCCUUUAAAAAUGGGCUCGCUCUAAAUACAUUAGCUGGAAUUCCCUUCCAUAUGGUCGUCUCGCUUUUCUUUAAAGUAGUUUGGCGGACUGUCAGCGUGAUAAGUAUCUUGCUGGUGGCCUGCCUUACAAAAUUUGGAAAUUAUAAAGUGGACGGUCGGAUUGCGAUUUCGCUUCUAACCAAGGAAGCCGGUCCUUUUGAGGAUCGCGUCUUUGCACUAUUUGACAUCUGGCCUCAGACAGGUAGGACUACCCGCUGAACUUAAGCAUAUCAAUAAG